GAUGAACGCUGGCGGCGUGCCUAAUACAUGCAAGUCGAGCGAACAGACGAGGAGCUUGCUCCUCUGACGUUAGCGGCGGACGGGUGAGUAACACGUGGAUAACCUACCUAUAAGACUGGGAUAACUUCGGGAAACCGGAGCUAAUACCGGAUAAUAUAUUGAACCGCAUGGUUCAAUAGUGGAAGACGGUUUUGCUGUCACUUAUAGAUGGAUCCGCGCCGCAUUAGCUAGUUGGUAAGGUAACGGCUUACCAAGGCAACGAUGCGUAGCCGACCUGAGAGGGUGAUCGGCCACACUGGAACUGAGACACGGUCCAGACUCCUACGGGAGGCAGCGGUAGGGAAUCUUCCGCAAUGGGCGAAAGCCUGACGGAGCAACGCCGCGUGAGUGAUGAAGGUCUUCGGAUCGUAAAACUCUGUUAUUAGGGAAGAACAAAUGUGUAAGUAACUAUGCACGUCUUGACGGUACCUAAUCAGAAAGCCACGGCUAACUACGUG
rnacentral:rRNA from 1 species